CUGUUUUUGCUUUGUCAUUAUGGGGUAUUCUUUGCAGAUUGAUUAGGAAAACAAUUAAUUGAAUCCAUUUUAGAAUAAGGCUGUAAUGUAAGAAAAUGUGGAGAAAGAUAAGUGGUCUGAAUACUUUCCGAAUGCAUUAUAUUUAUCAUAGUGAUUUGGGAGUAACAUUAAAACCCCACCAACAUUAAACAAACUAUACAGAAAACCCUAAACAUUUUGUGAAAUAAAUCAAUGAAAUCAAUGAUGAGAGAAUAAUCAGAUUAACGGAUAACUAAAAUAGCAGUGCAGAUGGUACUAUUGAGGUACUAUUGAGAUGUGCAUAAAUGUAUUAUAGGUCAUUCAUGAGUAGGGGACUGCUGCGGCCUUUUUUGUAGGGCAGAAAGAUUAGAACACCUCAGUCCAGAGGUUGUGAGUUCCAGGUGGGGUUAUAUUUCAUGGGUGCUAUCGUCCUCCAUCAGUACCAGCCUGUACCCUACCUGCCCUACGCUCUAUCCUGGCCCCUUACACCAAGUCUGAAUUUGUGAUCUAAACUGGGACUGGCUUAAAUCACCUGACCAGGUCCUAAAGCAAUGGGACUCCCUAAAUCUUUCUCAGAUUAUUACCAAUCACAUCAAGUAUUUCUCCAAACACCCAGACAAGGCUACUCUUCUUGAUGUUAUCAUCACAAAUAAUCCUGAUAGGUAUAAAUCUGGUGUUUUCUGUAAUGACCUUAGUGAUCAUUGUUUUACAGCCUGUGUUCGUAAUGGCUGCUCAGUGAAAAGACCUGUCCUGAUUUGUCAUAGACGCUUGCUAAAAAAAUGUAACGAGCCUUUCUUCAUAAACUGGCCUCUGUAAAAUGGUAUAGAAUCAGCUUGAUCCCCUCUGUCGAAACACUUGGACAUUUUUUGAUAUUUUCAGUGUUAUUGUUAACAAACACACCCACAUAAAGAAAAUGAGAAUUAAAAACAGGUUCAGCCCCUGGUUCGACCGUGAUCUUACAGAGUUACUCCACCUCAAGAAUUGCAUUUGGCGAAAGGCUCGGCACACGCAUACUCAGGCUGACUGGCUCUCGUUCAGGCAAAUGAGAAAUAAGUGCACUCAGGCUAUCCGGAAGGCCAAAGUUAGUUACUUUAACCUGUCUGGUAGCGUCCCACCUCGACAACAGUCAGUGAAAUUGCAGGGCGCCAAAUUCAAAACAACAGAAAUCCCAUAAUUAAAAUUCCUCAAACGUACAAGUAUUUUACACCAUUUUAAAAAUAAACUUCUUGUAAAUCCAGCCACAGGGUCCGAUUUCAGAUAGGCUUUACGGCGAAAGCACACUUUGCGAUUAUGUUAGGUCAGCUCCUAGCCACAGAAACCCAUACAGCCAUUUUCCAAACAAGAAGAGGUGUCACAAAAGUCAGCUCCUAGCCACAGAAACCCAUACAGCCAUUUUCCAAACAAGGAGAGGUGUCACAAAAGUCAGAAAUAGCAAUAAAAUGAAUCACUUACCUUUGAUGAUCUUCUUCUGGUGGCACUCCCAGGUCUCCAUGUUAAACAAUAAAUGUUUGUUUUGUUCGAUAAUGUCCCUCUUUAUGACCAAAAACCUCCUUUUUGUUUGUGCUUUUUGUCCAGUAAUCCGAAUGCAGAAGGCGUGUGCACUAAUUCCAGACGAAAAGUUUUAAAAAGUACAAUAAAAUUUAGUAUAAACACUCUGAUUGUUUUUGUCAUAAAUAAUCAAUAAUAUUUCAACCGGACAAAAGCUUUGUCAAUAGGAAAGGAGAAACAAGAAAGGCGCAUUCUCGGUCAGACGCAUGGCUGCUGAAUGGAAAUUUCCAUUGACCACUGAUUGAAAGUGCUGUAUCUCCUUCAUUUUUCAGAGUAAAAGCCUGAAACAAUGCCUAAAGACUGAUCACAUGUUGAGGAAGCCAUAGAGCUCAUGAACUGGGUCCUAAUUUUUUGUAUGGUGUAUAGGCUUUCAAUGGAAAAACAGCGUUUCAAAAUAAUAGUAAUUCCUGGUUGGAUUUUCCUCCGGUUUUUGCCUGCCAUAUCAGUUCUGUUAUACUCACAUACAUUAUUUUAACAGUUGUGGAAACUUUAGAGUGUUUUCUAUCCAAAUCUACUAAUUACAUGCAUAUCCUAUCUGCUGGGCCUGAGUAGCAGGCAGUUUAAUUUGGGCACGCUUUUCAUCCAAAAUUCUGAAUGCUGCUCCCUACCCUAGUGAAGUUAACUUCUCUGGGAUAUGGGGGACGGUAGCGUCCCACCUCGCCAACAACCAGUGAAACUGCAGG
ensembl:lncRNA